CGAGUUGGCUCUGGUUCGUGCCAAAUUGGGCAGGCCGGUUUCGCUUGAAUCCCUCGCGAGUCGUCGUCGUAACGGAAUCCUUCGCCCAUGGCGGUAUCAUUUCAGGCCAAUGCUUACGGCUAGCGUUACUCGGUGGCAGUCCAGGAUAGGGCCGGUCCGUUUCUCUCCGCGAGGGCUUGCGUUUCUCCUAAAUCGUGGCAUUUUCAGUUUCUGGAAUUGGAUAAACAGUGACAAGCAUACUAUCCAGCAGUAUAUGGACAAAUUGGUUGUUGAGUCACCAUCCGAAUUAGCUGAUAAGCUUCUUCCUCUAAAUCUCGAGGAAGAAAAUCAGUUGCAAAAGAAGGUUGCUUAUCUUCUUCUUGAGAUUAAAGAGUCUAAGAAUAAUGUUCAACAGCUUCAGACUGAACAUGGCAAGGUGGAAAAUUCUAUUAAGAUGCUGUCCUGUCAAAUGAGUGAGUUGGACAAGAGAAAGACAGAUGUUCUAAAUGAAACAAAGCUGUUGCAUCAGAGGAUUGAUGAAAGAAACUGGGGUGAUGCUGUCCAGGAUAUGAUCAGAAUGUUGAAAAUAGUUAAGGAUCUUGAAAGGAAAGAAUCUGAUCUGUUGUCUUCAUGUAAACUAAUACAUGCGGAUGUGGAAGAAUCAUUUACCUAUGGAGGACAACUGGAGUUUGCUGAAUUUGAUGAAGCACUGAGCCAAUCAAUGGAGAAACUUACUUCAGCUAAAAGGGAAUUUGCUGCUAAAUUAAGGGCAAUUUUGUCAGUAAAACGAAAGAUUGGUGAUGUGCCCACACAAGUCGAGCUGAUUCAAUAUGAACGGCGAUUUUCAGAACUUUAUUCCCAGAUUCAGGAAAAGCAUAGACAAACUUCUAAAUACUAUGAUACUUAUAAUGCACUAUUGGAGAUAAAGGAACUGAUGCUAAAAGAAACAUCCCUGUUGAACUCAAUAAAUUCGCAGCUUCAAGAUGCCUUGACUAGCAGCAUUGGUUCUUCUAAACUCGUGGACUCCAUGGAGGUUAUAGUGAAGGGAGCUCAACAAAAACUGGAAAAGGUACAGCUUAGGCUACUGGCUGAAAAGAAACAUUCUGACUUUCUGAGGGAGAAGUACACAGCAGCUAUAGCAGACCAGCGGCAUUUUUCAUUGCUUCUAAAGGCUUUCCAGGAUGAGUGCACAAAAAAUGAAAGGCUCAGCCAGUUAGUUCAAAAUCGCAUGUCAUCAAGUGCAUCCCUCUGAAAUCUUUUAACCGGGGCUUGGAUAUGUUUCUGACUCCGUGGUAUGCCCAUCCCGGUGCUUCAUCAGAUGUGAUAAAGAUGGAACUGCACCAGUCUCAAAAUCUGUCUGAGGUUUGUUUAAAGGAAAGGUUCUGGUGUCCUCCAAACUGAUUGCAGGACUGAGCUGGAGAUGUGAUUUAUUGUCUAAUUGCGGUGAUUCGGUGGACUUUCCGGUCGUGGUGAGGGAGGCACGCGAUGGACUAUAAUUUGAAUCUCUCUUUGGAGACAUCUUUCAAGGGUUUGGCAUCGGUGUAUGAUGAUGUUGCUUUCUUAUGUUCUUUGAAUGAACUUUUGAUUGAUUGCAUAACGAAUAGUUAAUGUGGUCGUCGGUAUGUUGGGAGAAGAAGCAGCAUCGACCACUGCACGAUUUGAGCCAAUCGGAGGAUUACGAUUCUAAAAGCUUGGAGUCACACGACGGGAUGGAUGGAAAGAAGAAGAAAGACGGGAGCGGUAAGGUUGCGAUGUUCUCGUGAGAGGAGAGGAGAGGAGAGGGGGCUACUGUCUAAGAUGACGCCUGCUCGUAUCGCGUGUGAUCUGAACACGAGAGGCCAAGAAAUGUUCUCGUCGAUUCGAUGCAUCGCAUCUCUUAACGUGAUGCAGGAGCGGAGGAAGGGACCAUAAAUUGCCCGAUCGAGGAGACGACGACGAUGACAUCUGGGACGGUAAGCUCAUCAACAUGAUCUGAACUGAUGGUUGGGGCCCCGUGGUGGUCGUUGGCGGACUGGUUGGUGGUUCAUGGGCACCCCUUGUCGUCUUGAGAGAGAAGGGCGAUUCGACGCCCAUUGGGUAGACGAAGCUUCACGGUCGUAUAUGGCCUUUGGAGGACAGGAGAGAUGGAGGAGACAUGGAUACGAGCGGUGCACUGGUUGCAUGUCCGGAGAAGAAAGAGACCACCAAUUCGACUUAAUUGGCUGCAUGCAGCAGCGACUGUCACGCGACUCGAGGACAAACUAGUCCUGCGCACCAACCGCGGCCGUGCCAUCGCCUUCGACAUGCGACCCACUCGGUGAUCAUGGCCGUCCUUGUAUGCAUCACCAUGUCAGUCACAAGACCGUCGCAGUGCAUCGCCCGAGUUACGUCCCUUCUUCGUGAUCAAAACGGUACCAGUUGGAUCUAAUAAGGAAGGAAGCAUCUCCGAGGCGAGGCCGGGAAUGGGACGGGACAAUGCAGACAUAUCGCUGCCCCUGUCAUGUUUGCCUUCUAUUUUUAUUUCAAAUUGGCAUGGAUCCAAACACGUCUUCAUAGUUUAUAUCUUGUACGACAAGGAUUAGCUUUAUUUGCACGCUUUCCGGGGAA